GGUUUUUCAUAUUUUAUAUUGGUGAACUUUAAUGCGGCAAAUUUGUGGCUCCGGUGCACAUUAUAUUGUUAAUGCUGCUUUUGAGAUGCAACACUAGCAUUAUAUAUUUGCUAUUAUGUUUAGAGUUGGAGGAUAUAGGGCUGACUAAGAUAUUUGAAGAAUGCAAUUGAGUCUGCCUUCAGAUUGUACCUAGGCUUACGAUUUUUAGUUGUAAACAAUUAGAAGUGUUCCUUGCUUUUUGUCUUUCCGGCCUUAUAUGCUUUAAAGAGAUCCUGUUGCUACAUGUCAUGCACGCAGGACAGAGGGAACUCCAAGAAGAUUGACUUGCUGUUGCCGUUUCUCAUUCUUGUGCUGCAAAUUAUUGGUUCUUCUUUUCUUUUUCUUUCUUAGGUGUCUUAAAAUAAUUUGGAACUUGGAGUCUAUGGUGUUGGAUGGUAUAGCCGAUGGGAAGAUGGGUAAAUUCCUUUCACCAAGAUGGAUUGAUCUUUCUUCCUUAGUGGUUAGUGCUACCUCAAUUUUUUCGAAAUUUGAAGGGUCCAUAUGGGUGUUGAAAUUUCCUGUCUUUACAAGUCUUCAUAAUAAUCAUCUCUUAAUGCAGUCGUCACACCAAAAUUUGAGUGGACCAUCAUGAUUUAAUUAAUGUUAUGGUGCUCAUCUUGGUUGAAAUGCUCCCAGGUUAUCUAUGGAAAGUCCUCGUCGGAAAAGGGAAAAUAUUAACUGCCAUAUAAUGUUCCUUUUGUAUUCAUUUUACAAAUUAAAGGUUUUCCAAGAGUAGCAAAUUACAAUGCAUGCUAAACCAAAAUGUUUAUUUUUCUGAGUGUGUGAGGCACGUCCAAGAAAGCUCUGGCAUCUUAGAAGGCUGCAGUGGUGAAAAAUGGAAAGGAGUAGAGAUCGGAGAGUAGUUUGGGAAAAUGAUGUUUGUUUGUGGAACAGUAUUGUGAGCUCACCUUAGGUAUAUAUGUAGUUGUUUUUAUUCCCCCAGAUGUACCUAUAUGCUUAAAUAUGUCCCAGUAAAAAAAUCUUCAGACUAUCUAUUGAUCCAUACUGUCCAAUUUCACAUAUUUCUUCUUUUAUCGCCAUUGCCCUGAUUUGUAGCUAGUUGAUUGCUUGUCGUGCUGUUUCCCCAGCCUCACGUGGUUGGGCAGGUCAUGUUAGUCUGUUGUACAAUGAGAAGGCAAUCUAGCCAGUGGUGUAAAAUUGCUGGACAUGUCAUAUUCACAUUGAAACAUGAAGGUAUUGCCUCAUAUUAGAUGAUUGAAUGAAACGUGGGUACUUGAUAUGUUGCAGGAAAAGCACAGUUGGUCUUUAAGUCCAACUGUCCAAGGCACUUGUUUGUAGGCAAUGUAGAUCAGCUUCAGUGCAGGAGCUGGUAAGGCUUUGGUUAACACAUCUUCCAACUGCAAUGACUUGAGCCAUGGCUUCAGCUGAGGACCGAGAGAUUGUAUUCUGCUUCUUGGAUUUCCAUGAAAUAAGUAAAGACCCAAGAAACACGGCAAAGCCAGUAACAGAGCGUCGAGUAGUAGGCCAAGAAGCCCAAUCUGCAUCUGAAAAGGCAGAUAGGUGUAAGCUGGAGUUCUUGCCAAAGAAGAGUCCAUGCCCAAUUGUGCCUUUGAGAUUUUUAAUUACACAUUCUGCAGCUGCUAGAUGAUCCUCACACUGAAACAAAUUGGCUUAAGUUGUGCACGGCAAAAGUGAUGUCAGGCCUUGUCAAACUGAGAUAGAGCAGCCUUCCUAUGAGUCUUCUAUACUUAGGCUGCGUUUACUUUGACGGAUAAAUUUAUCCAUGAAAAAGGAUGAAUAACAAAAAUUUAUGCCUUUAAAUGUUCCUUUCUUUUCC